rnacentral:rRNA from 1 species
AGGGAAACCGAGUCUUAACUGGGCGUUAAGUUGCAGGGUAUAGACCCGAAACCCGGUGAUCUAGCCAUGGGCAGGUUGAAGGUUGGGUAACACUAACUGGAGGACCGAACCGACUAAUGUUGAAAAAUUAGCGGAUGACUUGUGGCUGGGGGUGAAAGGCCAAUCAAACCGGGAGAUAGCUGGUUCUCCCCGAAAGCUAUUUAGGUAGCGCCUCGUGAACUCAUCUUCGGGGGUAGAGCACUGUUUCGGCUAGGGGGUCAUCCCGACUUACCAACCCGAUGCAAACUGCGAAUACCGAAGAAUGUUAUCACGGGAGACACACGGCGGGUGCUAACGUCCGUCGUGAAGAGGGAAACAACCCAGACCGCCAGCUAAGGUCCCAAAGUCACAGUUAAGUGGGAAACGAUGUGGGAAGGCUCAGACAGCCAGGAUGUUGGCUUAGAAGCAGCCAUCAUUUAAAGAAAGCGUAAUAGCUCACUGGUCGAGUCGGCCUGCGCGGAAGAUGUAACGGGGCUAAACUGUGCACCGAAGCUGCGGCAGCGACGCUUAUGCGUUGUUGGGUAGGGGAGCGUUCUGUAAGCCUGCGAAGGUGUCCUGUGAGGGAUGCUGGAGGUAUCAGAAGUGCGAAUGCUGACAUAAGUAACGAUAAUGCGGGUGAAAAGCCCGCUCGCCGGAAGACCAAGGGUUCCUGUCCAACGUUAAUCGGGGCAGGGUGAGUCGACCCCUAAGGCGAGGCCGAAAGGCGUAGUCGAUGGGAAACGGGUUAAUAUUCCCGUACUUGGUGUUACUGCGAAGGGGGGACGGAGAAGGCUAUGUUGGCCGGGCGACGGUUGUCCCGGUUUAAGCGUGUAGGCUGGUUUUCCAGGCAAAUCCGGAAAAUCAAGGCUGAGG